rnacentral:rRNA from 1 species
UACGGAGGGUGCUAGCGUUGUUCGGAAUCACUGGGCGUAAAGGGCGUGUAGGCGGUCUGUUAAGUCUGAUGUGAAAUCCCGGGGCUCAACCUCGGAACUGCCUUUGAUACUGCAAAUCUCGAGUCCGGAAGAGGUGAGUGGAAUUCCUAGUGUAGAGGUGAAAUUCGUAGAUAUUAGGAAGAACACCAGUGGCGAAGGCGGCUCACUGGUCCGGUACUGACGCUGAGGUGCGAAAGCGUGGGGAGCAAACAGG